CAAGUUUCCACAAGACAACACUAGUUUGAAUUUGAAAAUCAUAUAAGCAACCAGUUGCGCCUUCAAACUGCUCAGUUUGCAGUUUUCGGGCCACGGAUGAGGAGCAAUUGUUGGAGUUGAGAGGCACAGUUGUGAGCAAGUUUGAAUCGGUUUGCAAAAGGUGAACCCUACAACUUAACCAUGAUCGGAUUGGAGACACUUGGCGGUACUUGCAUGUUUGCGUGCACUCCUUUGGCAUCAGUUUUGAUUGCCGUGACGGUGUUAGUGGUCGUCGUAUUAGUGUCAGUUUGUUAUUUAACCAAAUUAUUCUCUUCAAGGCGCAAAUAAAUCAUAUUGAUGCACAUAAAUUGUAAUUCAGAAACAAUAAAAUGUUGAUAUUCUGAAUUCUCA